UAUUUUACAAUUUUAAAGAUAUAUUUGUCAAUUUACAAAAUUCAAAGAUUAACUUUACUUACGUUUACAAUUUGAAUCACCAAUUUGUCUAAUUACUCAAAAUAAACUAUUGGGCCUUUACAUGGCAAUUCCAUUAACAACUUUGUUAGUCACACCCUUUAUUUUGCUCGUUACAUAUAUAUUAUUCCUAGAAUGACCAAAUUACCCUUAUUUUUAAAUCAAAUUUCCGAUCCUUUCUUCUCCAAUCGUGAAACCUAUUUCCUUCCUCCAUCUUCAUCUUCUCACAUUCUAGUUUCAAGUUCAACAUGUUUUGUUGCUUCAUCAUUGAUUCAUCACUUACAUUAAUCGGAUUUCCAUCCAUCUCUUCUUUUUUUUUCUUUAAAUAUUUAGCUUUGUUAAGUUUAUUUUCUUUAUUUAUUUUAUUUAGGGUUUGUUGUUUAAUUAGAAUUUAGUGAGAUUGAAAAACAUUUUGAAAUUGAGUAGGUAGGAAAAUAGAACUAGAAAACAAAAUUGAAUUUUGAAAUUUUGGAACUAGAUUAGAGAUAUACGCAAAUCUAGUUUGUGUAGGUGUACGCAAAAUGAGUUUGGGAAAUCUCAAAUGGUUGAUAUUGUACAUGAUUUGAAUCAGCGCACACCUACGCAAACUCAAUUUGUGUAGGCUACGCAAACUGAGAUCACAUAUAUGUUGUUAGUUGUUUAAUGUAUGUGAUGUGAAAUGAUGUAUAUUAUGCAAAUUGGGUUUGUGUAAGCUAUGUGAACUGAGUUUAUGUAUUUGAUAUUUAAAUAAGCAUAUGUUUGAUUAUGAUUAUAUGUAUGUAGAAAAUGAUGUGCACUAUGUUUAUUGACGAAACGAGUCAUGUUAUAACUAAUGUUAAUUGAAUGAGGGUCGAUGUGUUAGACUGAUUGUUUCUACAUGGACUCAACGACUUGAGGAGCAAUAAGAAGUACAACGGGAGCAGCGAAGAACACAACAACAACAUUAGGUACAACAGGAUGAGAUCCACAAUAGCAUGAGACAAUAGCAACAGACACAACAAAAGGCCCAACAAGAGAAGAUGGAUCAACCUCUACAACUUGAUGGAUAUUUUAGUGUUCAUGUUGACACAUUUGUCUUUAGCACAUUGAUGACCAUGUGGCCACUCGACUUUAGGAUAAAGUGAUCGUGGGGAGCUAAGGGUAUUUAGUAAUGGAUAAAAGUAGAAAAAAGAUUUCAUGGAAAUUGAUGAGGAUGAGCAGUUGGUAUAAAGUUCAGGAUUAUAUAUGUUGGUAACAUGCAGUUACGAAAUGAUCGACAAAGGGAUCAUAUAUGCUUUUGCAGAGAGGUGGCAUCUAGACACCAAAAAGUUCCAUCUACCGAUUAGGGAGAUGACGAUCACACUUGAUGAUGUUUGGUCACUAUUGCAUAUACUCAUUACACGAGGAUUCUUUACUGUCACAAUAUUUAACAAAGAUGGGGCUAUAAAGGUAUUAGUCAAAUUGCUUGGAGUUACUGAAGCCCUUGCUCAUGUUGAAUUUAAUGUCACACGAACACCAACAGUUUGAUUUAGUUGGCUACUUGAUGUAUACAAUCAAUGUUGUUGUGACUAGCUUUAGAAGAUGGUUGUGAAGGCGUUUCUACUUUUUCUAGUUGGUUGCACCCUUUUCAGCAACAGGAGUGCAUUUGCCGCCAAUAUUUUCUAGGUAGAGUGCUUCUGAGACCUCGACUGAUAUAGAGGAUACACAUUGGGUGCUUCUUCUCUUGGAUACUUAUAUGAUAAUCUCUAUGAAUCCAAUAUGCAUCAAACCAAAAUGAUUUUUGGGCAUUUGACUUAGUAUGUUGAUAAAUUAUAUUUAUCAAUAAAUUAAUUAUAUGUUAUUAUAUAUGAGCAAGCUUUGGUCUCUGAGCAUCUCCCUAGGUUAUGUCUUGAUUGUUUUAGACAUUCUCCUAAAUCUGUUGAGGGAUAAGGAUUUGGUUCUUCCCUUUAGGAAAUUACUUGAUGAGAUCGAUGUUGGUCAUGUAUGAUGGACGAUGUAUGAAGAGUAUAAAGUGACGUACCCAUUUCAAGAGGAUUCUUUGUUUAGACGGUGGAUCAGGCGAGGUCCGAUGAUGUAUGCACAUCUACCAAACAAGAUAAUGCAUCAAUAUGGUCAUGUUUAAAUCAUUCCUAGCACCAUUAGAUAUAAUAGGUCAUAAAGACCACUUUAGAUGAAAUGGACUUAAUGUAAUUGAUCCUAGUGCAUUUGUACAUGAUUCGACAAACUUCUUGGAAGAUCAUAUGGAGUGGUUUCAUAGGAUCUCAAAUCCUUACAUCAUUCAUUGAGAACCACAUCAUGUUAGUCCAUGAGUUGUAGAUCCUUCUGAUGCAGGUCCAUCUGUUGUUAAUAUAACGGUAAAUUCAUUACA